GAUUACUUCAAUUUACGGAGACAAGUUUGCAAUCUGAUGCCGUUGUCUGAUGUGCUGGUUACCCACCGUUUGCCCAGAGAGAGCUUCCUAUACAUGAAAAGAGACCACUCUGAAUUGUUUAAAGUCUAAAUUGUGACAAUUGUGAAGAACACAGGGCUGCCUGCCAUAGACUGUCAGAAAUCCACUAAUGGCUGUGCUGAGUCCAUGGGCAGCUGUGGUUUGGGGCACAAAUUAACAAACACACAUUACACAGUCCGCUGAUCCAGAAAAUGUGCUGGACUGGUUUCCCACCUCUCAUAUCUCUUCUCCAUCCUCUGUAGGACCCAGAGGCCCCCCACCUAUAGGCUCAUCCCUGCUCUGGGUUCUGGGACCAAUCUUGUCCUUAGGGGGAAAUUUAAAGAGACAGAUUUGGGUAACUGAGGUGACCCGGGCUCAAGUCGGUUUAGCUCAGAUACUUGGAAUGGUAGGCCUGGAAAGGAACCUUGUGAAGAUUGCUCUUUCUAGGAUUUAUUCCUGUGUCACUGGUUUUGCAUUUUGUUUGAGAAAGAGAUACAGAGGAAGGUGAUGGGGGAAGGGCAUCAUAAUGCUGUGGAAAGACCAUGGCUUUGAAAUCAGACUGCUGGGCCCACAUACUAAUGCCGUGGUUUAAUCAGCCACGUGGCCUGGUUAUAUUCCUCCCUGAGCCUCUGUUUCCUCAUCUCUAUGGUAGGGAUAAAAGAACCAAAUUUAAAGUUGUGAACCUCAAAAACCACCUUGCUGGUCUAAGUCACUAUCAUCUCUUGUCUGUUAUUGCAAUAAUCUGCUAACAGUCCUCUCUGCUUCCUGCUUGCUCCACUGCCAUCUGUGGUCAACAUCAUAUCCAGAACAAUCCUGUUUAAAAAUGUAACUUGGAUGAUUCUUCCUUUUGCUUAAAACCUGAUCAUGCCUUUCAAUUUCUUACAGGACUCUCCAGAACUCUAAGAUGUCAGAACAAACUUUGGGACAUAGCUGGUCUUGUAGCAAAGGAUACAAAGAAUAGAUGAACUACACCUGGCUCUUCGAGUGUCUGAUAGAAGAAACACACCUUACCCACAGCCAUGUUACAUUGGCCAAAACAGGUCACGUGGCCACACUUGGGGCCAGUGAAGUAGAGAAGGAUAAUAUUUCUACAGAAAAGGGAUACCACAGGGAGGAGCAGCCAACAUUUUGAACAGAAAUAUAAUCUGCUAUAUAGGACAUUUCAUAAAGUAGGUCAAAUAUUUUUGGAAAAAAAAAAGAGGGGAGUCUAUGUAUGGUCAGUUAAGUUUAGGAACUCCUACAUAAUACCCAUCUCUAGAGCUAUGCAAUGUAAACCAGCACACCGAAGGCUCUCAGAAGUCCUGCAAUAGAAAAAUAAAAUCAAGAUUGUUUAACCCCAA